AGGAUUAAGUAAUCAAGAAAAAGCUUCUAACUUUAUUCUUAAGCACUAUAUGUUUUUAAUCC
rnacentral:tRNA from 1 species